AUAGAUCGUGGGCGAAGAGGGUGUCUAGGCAUAGGUGUUAAAGUAGGAUUUAUAAGGGGAAAGGUAGAAGUAUAUAUGGGCUGGAAGGGAUGAGCAAGGGCUUGUUGGCCCUAAAUUGGGCUCUAAUAUGAUAGACUUGUUAAUGACUGGAUGGCUAGUCUUUUGGGACUACAAGUAAUAGUAUUGGUAAGCCUUAUUGUGAUUACAGUUGAAAGGCUAAUCUUGAUUUGAAAGAUAGUAAACUAAAAAAAAAAAAGGUAUUGGAGAGACUGGAUCUAGAAAAACCUUUACUAUUAUAGAAAAGGAAAUUGAUAAGGAUAUUGAAGGGGUAGGUAUCUC
rnacentral:lncRNA from 1 species